rnacentral:rRNA from 1 species
UCAUUAAGUUGGGCACUCUAAGUUGACUGCCGGUGACAAACCGGAGGAAGGUGGGGAUGACGUCAAAUCAUCAUGCCCCUUAUGAUUUGGGCUACACACGUGCUACAAUGGACAAUACAAAGGGCAGCGAAACCGCGAGGUCAAGCAAAUCCCAUAAAGUUGUUCUCAGUUCGGAUUGUAGUCUGCAACUCGACUACAUGAAGCUGGAAUCGCUAGUAAUCGUAGAUCAGCAUGCUACGGUGAAUACGUUCCCGGGUCUUGUACACACCGCCCGUCACACCACGAGAGUUUGUAACACCCGAAGCCGGUGGAGUAACCUUUUAGG